AGCCAAACUGCUCUCAGUAUAGAUUACCAGGAUGUCCCAGACACUUUAACCCUGUGUGUGGCAGUGACAUGUCCACUUAUGCCAAUGAAUGUACUCUGUGCAUGAAAAUCAGGGAAGGUGGUCAUAAUAUUAAAAUCAUUCGAAAUGGACCCUGCUGAUGGAGCAGUUUACAGAAAAGAAGAUGGAGAGACCACCUUCACUGGCAGACUAGAUAAAUUGCAUUUCCCCUUUUUCUCUUUUCCUGUGUUUCUUUACAUGAGAUUUGUUAACACACAUUUUCUGAGAGCAGGUAUGGAAGACAGCCAUGUGUAGUGAUGGAUAAUUUAAAGAAAAAAAGAAUCCUUGUUUCUUGGCUUUUGCUCCUGGAGUUAAGCUUACUGCCCAGGUGACUUGUGCAUUGCUUUAUUUAGUUGAAAUAAAAUCAGCAUUGAAUUCAG
rnacentral:lncRNA from 1 species